GGACUUCGGUCCAUUUGGUCAAUUUGAAACAAUACAGAGAAGAUUAGCAUGGCCCCUGCACUAAGGAUGACAGUGAUGUCGAACCCCGCGCUUGACAUUUCA
rfam:Rachicladosporium sp. CCFEE 5018 unplaced genomic scaffold Supercontig_2, whole genome shotgun sequence.